GGAAGUAAAAGUCGUAACAAGGUUUCCGUAGGUGAACCUGCGGAAGGAUCAUUAGUGAUUUUGAAAGGUUGUCUUCUGUGCUGGCUGCAGCAAGUGCACGUUGGUGACUUUCAUCCAACACCCUGUGAACCUUUGGCCUCUUGCUCGCUUCGGCUGGCAGAGGAUUUACACAAACUCGCAUGUAUUGAGGACCCUUCAUGUGCGCAAGCACUAAUAUACAACUUUCAACAACGGAUCUCUUGGCUCUCGCAUCGAUGAAGAACGCAGCGAAAUGCGAUAAGUAAUGUGAAUUGCAGAAUUCAGUGAAUCAUCGAAUCUUUGAACGCACCUUGCACCCUUUGGCAUUCCGAAGGGUAUGCUCGUUUGAGUGUCAUUGUACUCUCACACUCCCAAUUACUUUGGAUUGGGAGCGGUGGACUUGGGUGUUGCUGCUUGACUGCGGCUCACCUGAAAUAUGUUAGUUGCACCUCUUGAUUGGACAUAGUACGGCGUGAUAAGUGUCUUCGCUGGCUCCUCGCAAGAGGGUGGCCGAUCGGGAGCUCUGUUGCUUCAAACUGUCUUCGGACAAUCUUCUGGCGACUUGACCUCAAAUCGAGUAGGACUACCCGCUGAACUUAAGCAUAUCAAUAAGCGGAGGAAG
rnacentral:rRNA from 1 species